rnacentral:rRNA from 1 species
UACGUAGGGUGCAGGCGUUAAUCGGAAUUACUGGGCGUAAAGCGUGCGCAGGCGGUUUGCUAAGACAGGUGUGAAAUCCCCGGGCUUAACCUGGGAACUGCGCUUGUAACUGGCAAGCUUGAGUGUGGCAGAGGGGGGUGGAAUUCCACGUGUAGCAGUGAAAUGCGUAGAGAUGUGGAGGAACACCGGUGGCGAAGGCGACCAACUGGUCCGACAUUGACACUGAGGCACGAAAGCGUGGGUAGCAAACAGG